CAGUCGCCGCGGGAAUACGAAGGGUGCAAGCGUUACUCGGAAUUACUGGGCGUAAAGCGUGCGUAGGUGGUGGUUUAAGUUCGUUGUGAAAGCCCUGGGCUCAACCUGGGAAUUGCAGUGGAUACUGGGUCACUAGAGUGUGGUAGAGGAUAGUGGAAUUUCCGGUGUAGCAGUGAAAUGCGUAGAGAUCGGAAGGAACAUCUGUGGCGAAGGCGACUAUCUGGGCCAACACUGACACUGAGGCACGAAAGCGUGGGGAGCAAACAGGAUUAGAUACCCCUGUAGUCCCUGUCUCUUAUAA
rnacentral:rRNA from 1 species